UACGUAGGGUGCAAGCGUUGUCCGGAAUUAUUGGGCGUAAAGAGCUCGUAGGUGGUUUGUCGCGUUGUUCGUGAAAACUCACAGCUCAACUGUGGGCGUGCGGGCGAUACGGGCAGACUGGAGUACUGCAGGGGAGACUGGAAUUCCUGGUGUAGCGGUGAAAUGCGCAGAUAUCAGGAGGAACACCGGUGGCGAAGGCGGGUCUCUGGGCCGAUGACUGACGCUGAGGAGCGAAAGCCAGGGGAGCAAACGGG
rnacentral:rRNA from 1 species